CGUUAGUCCGGCCAAGUUCAAAGUGACGAAUAGCCUUUCGUUAUCCUACAACCACCGAAGAUUCCCGGAUUUUAGUUUGCAGCUUGGCAUCCGCGAAUCCAUCCGCUCGCCACGAUUCCCUUUCGAGGCGGAGGAGAGUUAAGUAAGAGUUCGAUUUUGAAAUCGAACGGGCCGUAAUUCGAACAAUAAGCGAACCUCCCAUUCGUCGAUUCUCUCGUUGCGUUAUCGUAUUUUUGUGAAUAGAGCGGUUGAGAAAUUUCGAUUCCGUUGAAAUCCUUGAGGAAAUUGCAACUCGGAAUCAGGUGACGAUUGUGUAUAGUAAAACAACAAAUUGUGUGUUUAUUUAUCCGUGAAUGGAUAAUUUAAAGAUGGAGGAGGAUAUAAGUUCGAUCGAGGAACAGAAUAAAUCGUGUCGAACUAAGAAAAUAUCUCACAAGUCAAAUAUUCGAAAAUUUUUUAGAGACGUUUGGCGUAAAAUUAAAGCUGAAAUUAAUGGGGAAGAACGUAAACGUGCAAACGAGUAUGGGGAUUAUUAUUUCUAGACAUGGUUGGGAAUUCAAUUUAGAUGUGCAAGAGGAGGGGUUGGAGGUGGAGAUGCUGCAUAUUUUGGCGGUGGAUCGUUUCAAUCCCAUCGAGAAACAUACGUGUGCCAUGUGUACGAUGUUAAAUAGAAUAAAUUAGAUAGAAUGAUCGAUCGAUCGGAUAAUCGAUUUAUCGAUGUUUAAUCCUUCGAGGAUUAAUCGAGAGGACGAAACGCAAUGGAUUUGACCGACAAUUCAAGCCGUGAAGACCGAGCCACCUUUUUUUGGCGCAUGUUUUCUCGGCCAAUCGAUGGUGGAAGCCCCCCCCAAGAUCCCGAGAAAACAAGGGGCCAAUUAACACGGAUCACGGUUAAGGAGACGAAGGAUUCCAACCAACUGUCCAAAACAGAUAUCUGACACCAGUUCCUUGCACCAGUUACCACGAUUCUCCGACACCGCCUAGAAUCUUCAUUGAUCGUCCCUCGCCUCGAAUUUCUAUGAGACCCGAUUAUGAUGAAAAGCUUCAACGUGUUUCGUGGAAGAAAUCCUCUUACGAAUUUAGGUUAUCUAGGGAGAGGGAGUAGGGAGGGGGAAAAGAGAAAAGAAAGAAAGAAAGAAAGAAAUUAAGAAAUCUCUCGAAUCUUCGAAACGGAGGAAUUGACUUUUCUUGUCCUAUUGGAUAUAAAUCCAAAUAAAAAUAAAGAUAAUCGUCGUCGAUUAAAUUUCAAAGGGAAACUUUUAAGGACUUAUUUAAACAGAUAGAUUAAUGUAUUUUAAAAAAAAAAAAAAGAAAUUAUUUUCUUAACGAUAUUUAUUCCACGCUUAUCAAGAAUCUAGAUCGUUGAAAGGAAAAAUAACAAUCCCCGGCAAAUAUAAUCGCAUUUCUGUCCUCACCCCUUUCCCAGCCUCCAUCCAUCUUAGAACCGCAUACGAUGCAUUGUGAUACGAUGUUUCGUUUUCUUUCUACUUGAUAGAACUUCGAUCAAACCGGUUUUUCUACCAGCCUCGAGGAACUGUGCAAGAUAGACGUAGAAAAAUGAUGUACAUCCUCUUACGAUAUUACGGGGCAACUGUGACAAGAAGAAUGUAGAAAAAUUUACCGCGUCAUGCGUCUCCACGCGAACCGAAACUCAUCAUCCGUCCAACGACUAGUAGUACACCUCUUACUUAGUACCGCUUUCGAUUAUCGUAACUGAAUUCCGAGACCAAUAUCGAAUUGAUCGAGAUUAAUUCCGGAGAAUAAAUAACAAAUGCAGAGAAUCUAACCGUGUCGAUAUCACGUUCCUUCGAUUUCCUUCAAAAAUAUGCGACUCGUACAUUUGCGCGAUGAAUUGAACGCUGUUCCGUCUGUUGCCCUUUUUUCUCUGUGCAACGAUAAUACGUACGUAUUCGGUGUAGCAGAAAGAAAGAACGAAUCAAAUAUAUUCUUUAUUUUUAAUCAAAUUAAUUUGCAACAAUUUAAUUCUUCGAGUCAAGAAUCAAAUGGAAUCCCUUAAUGAAACAUUUCCCGAAUCAAGGGACGAACUCGAGUUUCUUGGAAAGAAGCGUAACGCGAGAAGAUCUUGUCAAUUGACGCCUAAGUCAAUUAUCCUGUGGAGACUCGUUGGAAAUCCGCUGAUUCGUAGCCCGUCUCUAACAACUGUUAAGAGGUGACAUUUCUAAGGAGGGAUUUAGCAUCUCCUUUCCAAUUGACAAUUGUGCCAGGAUCCGUGUUAAUGAUUCGACGCGAUUCUUGUUUUGUCAGCGAAUAAAAAAAAAAAAAAAAAAAAAAAAGGAAGUCUUCGCGUUCGCGAAUAAAUUUGUCCAGUCCAGCAUGUAAAUCAUAACUCGGACUCGAACAAGCAUUUUUAUCGCCGCAGUAUUUCUCCUCCUCCCUAUCGUUCACGGAGUCGAUACAAGAUUUUUUUUUUUUUUUUUUAUCGUUUCCAAUUAUUUUCUCGGUUUCACGCUGGUGGGAAGUAGGUCGUCCAUUAGUUGGUUAAUUGCAUUGUUUAUAGAUUUUUUUUCCUUGACAGCGAUGGCAUGCGGAAAUAACGAAGAAGUAACGGUGAAGCAUCAUCGAUCGGGACGCGUCAUUUAUUUGAUUUGUAAAAUCUUUUAUUCAAUGGCGAAAUAUACUUUUUAUUUUCGGGAAUAAAGGUAAGAAGAUGAUGAAAUUCGUUCAAUUGCUUCUUCUUCUUCCUUUUUUUUUUUUUCUUUUUUUUCGUAAUAUCAAACGCGAUCAUUCGUGAAAAUGUUAAUUAAAAACGUGAAAGGACGCGGAAUAUUGUUUGCGACGAUACCGCUUCGAGAGAGAAGCCUCGAAAUUGCCUUGGAAAAUAAUUAUUUAAUUACACGCCAUAUAAUCCACUAUGUAACGAAAUAAGAUCGAAUUAUAAUCUCCAAUAAACCCUGCAUGUAUCAAAACCCUAAGGAAAUUUGCAUGCUCGCUACAAAAUAAAGCGAAUGCAUCGAUCAUCCUCGUUGUACCAUAGUACAUGUAAACGAACGCGAUAAAAAAAGAAAAAUGGGUAUCGAGGAAAAGGAAAA